AAUGACAAAGGAAAAAUAGUCUUUUAAGACUCUAUAAAUUAUUUAUUCUGACAUUAUACAAUAUGCAUUCAUGUAAGUUAUUUACUUUACAAUAUUCACAUCAACAAAAUACUAUAUUAAACCAUUUCACAGUCUUGUGAAUUCUAAGCUUAUGUGCAAACAUGUUUUUAGGUUGACAUACUGCAGACCGACCAAACCACAAUUGGUUUAUGAUGAUAAUAACAUUACACUACAGUUGCUGCCAGUGCAAUAUAGCAAAAUGUUUAGUAUGCAAUCACUAUAGUAUAUUUUAAUACAACAUGAUACUUCAGAAUUUCUUGGUACCAAACUUUACAGCACGUGAGAAAUAUCACUGGAGUUGUGAUCUGUCCGUGUACCACGAGGAACCAUGUUGCCAUUUGAGUGACUUGAGGAACCACUCGACAAAAGAGGAGUGUCCUGUGUUGCAGAUAUUGGUGAAGUAUCUGGGCCGAUGACCACCACAUAACGGCUAUCUUCAUCGUCCUCCUCCAUGUUCCCGUGAAUGUCUGCAGUAACUAUUGAGUUUUCUGCCUCCUGGCGGCUGCAUGAUGGGGAGGAGCUAAGCACAGGAUGUUCUGACACCUCUCCAUCAGGACUGUCAUCCUGGAAGCUGGUGUUAAUGUAGAUGAUAUCCUCUUUGCUAAAAGACUCUGGGAACCUUUCGGCAAUUUUUUCCAGCAUUUCUCUCAGUUGGGAAAAAAGGGGUCGGUCCAAAGGAUCGGCCCUCCAGCAGCUGUACAUUAUCUCAUACCUAUAAACAAAAGACAGGUAACGGGUAACUUUUAUUUAAAAAAUCGCCACUGACCUCGAGUUUAAAAUUUGUGUAUUGAGCAGAAGUCACUCACAUGUCGUCCAAACAGUCCGUUGGCUGUUUCAGCCUAUGUCCUUCAAGAAGGUAGUCAUAAAUCUCGUGGUUCUGGAUACCAGGGUAUGGUGUCAUCCCUCGUGUAGCAAUCUCCCACAUGGUUACACCAAAUGCCCACUGCAAGUUGAAACAAAAUGUUCAUUUCAUGACUUCAGAAUUGACAGUGUUCCCUAUACACAAAGAUUUUCGGUCAUAAACAUUAAACAUGUUUAGCUUAAGAUCAUUUUGUUUUUUGCUGUUAGUGCAAAAACAAAUCUACGAGCACUGGAUAAUCUUUUAAAACAAGUCAUGCAUUUGUUGCCUUCAACCAGGGAGGGUCGAAAAUGGGAUAAAAACAGCCCAAUUAUGGUAUUUAGCCCUGUAAUUUAGAUUAUUGGUUGACCAUUAUUUGAUUCCAAAAGCCUUUCCUAGAUUUUCAUUAUUAUCUUCAUUAUUCAUAUAUUCAUUAUAUCUUCUAUGGACAGAUCAUCUGACAGGAUUAAAAGAAAGAAAAAACUAAAGCGCAAUAUCUUGGUGAUUACAUUAUCUACAAUUUUUCAGGUCCGGGACUUAGGGUCUGUCGGGCAGUCGAAUCUCGAAUUCAGGAGGAGCAGUGUGGUUUUAGUCCCGGCCGUGGAACAGUGGACCAGCUCUAUACCCUUGGUAGGGGCCUCGAGGGUGCAUGAGAGGUCGCCCAACCGGUUUACAUGUGUUUUGUGGAUUUGGAGAAGGCGUUCGACCGUGUCCCUCGGGGAGUCCUGUGGAAGGUGCUUCGGGAGUACGGGGUACCGAGCCCCUUGGUAAGGCCUGUUCAGUCCCUGUACGAACGGUGUCACAGUUUGGUCCGUAUUGCCGGCAGUAAGUUGAAUUUGUUGCCAGCGAGGGUUGGACUCCGCUAAUGUUGCCAUUUGUCACCGAUUCCGUUCAUAAUUUUUAGGAACAGAAUUUCUAGGCGCAGCCGAAGCGUUGAUGGGGUCCGGUUUGGUGGCCUUGCAUUGCAUUGCAUUGCAUAUAUGCUUUUUGCAGAUGAUGUGGUGCUGUUGACUUCAUCAAGCCGUGUCCUCAAACUCUCACUGGAACGGUUCGCAGCCGAGUGUGAAGCGGUUGGGGUGUAGAUCAGCACCUUCAAAUCCGAGACCAUGGUCCUCACUUGGAAAAGGGUUGCGUGUCCUCUCCCGGUCUGGGAUGAGAUCCUGCCCCAUGUGGAGGAGUUCAAGUUUCUUGGGGUCUUGUUCACGAGUGAGGGUAUGAGGGAGCAGGAGAUCGACAGGCAGAUCGGUGCAGCGUUUGCAGUAUUGUGGACUCUCCACCGGUCCGUAGUGGUGAAGAAGGAGCUGAGCCAAAAGGCGAAGCUCUCGAUUUACCAGUCGAUCUACAUUCCUACUCUCACCUACGGUCACGAGCUGUGGGUUGUGACAGAAAGAACAAGAAUCAAGCGGCCGAAAUGAGUUUUCUCUGCAGGGUGGCCGGGCUCUCCUUUAGAUACUCCUCUGCGUUGAGAGGAGCCAGUUGAGGUGGCUUGGACAUCUGGUUGAGAUGCCUCCUUGACGCCUCCCCGGAGAGGUGUUCCGGGCAUGUACCACCGGCGGGAGACCCCGGGGACGACCCAGGACACGUUGGAGAGACUAUGCCUCUCGGCUGGCCUGGGAACGCCUUGGGAUCCCACCAGAGGAGCUGGUUAAAGUGGCUGGGGAGAGAGAAGCCUGAGCUUCCCUGCUAAAGCUGCUGCCACCAUGACCCGAACCCGGAGUAAGCGGUUGGUAAUGGAUGAAUGAUGGAUGGACAAUUUCUUCGAGUAAGGACUUUCUUGAAAAGUACACUAUCUGGAGUGCUUACCACAUCACUUUUAACAGUAAAUACUCUGUCCGCCAGACUCUCAACAGCUAUCCAUUUAACAGGCAUUUUGGCGAUCCUGCCCUGUCUAUAAUAAUCUCCACUGUAGAUCUUCUUGGAUAAGCCAAAGUCAGCCACACACACUGUCAUGUCAUCUCGCAGCCUGAGAGGGGGGAAAACCAUGAUAGAACAACACACAUAAUUGCGAGCGGCCAGGUCACGAUGCAGAAAGUUCCGACCGCUGAGAUACUCCAUACCAGAGGCAAUGUCGACCAUGAACUUCAGGAGCGUCUGUGUUGGCGUGAGCGCAGCAGGAAGGUGUGUAGAUCUCCAUAUUUCAUAAAGGGCAGGAUGACCAUAGGCUUGGGGAAGUGUCCAGUGACCGUUUCCAGGCACACACCUAUCGAGAGCAGACAUUUCACAGACAAAGAAACAAUGAUCAGAAUUGUAACGGUACAGGUUUUUUUUUCCAAUCCACAAAAAGAUGUAACGUUCUAACCAAGCAGCUUGAUGACAUUGGGAUGGUGGAAAUCUUUCAUGCAGGCCGCUUCAUACAGGAACUCGUCUAUUUCUCUCUGAGAAAAGCUAUCCACUGUUUCAAAGAUGGU